UACGUAGGGUGCAAGUGUUAUCCGGAAUCACUGGGCGUAAAGCGUCUGUAGGUGGUUUAAAAAGUCCACUGUUAAAGAUUGAAGCUUAACUUCAAAAAUGCCGUGGAAACUUUUAAACUUGAGUAUGAUAGGGGUAGAGGGAAUUUCCAGUGGAGCGGUGAAAUGCGUAGAUAUUGGAAAGACCACCAAUGGCGAAGGCACUCUACGUGGGCCAAUUACUGACACUGAGAGACGAAAGCUAGGGGAGCAAAUGGG
rnacentral:rRNA from 1 species